GUUUCUACGGUGUAAAUUUGCACGUUAGAUUUUCAUUCUAAAAGUAUAAAAAUUAUUUUAUUAGAAAUA
rnacentral:tRNA from 1 species